AACUGUCUCAGUCCUGUCCUGCAGGAAGAAAUGCUUCCUCUCUUCUUGCUUCUCCAGUGUUUCAGCACGAAGAUUCUCCUUUUGUUCCCUCUCAACAGGAGUAGAUAGAAUGCAACACGGUGUUAAUGAAUGAGAGGCAUCAUGAUAAGAGAUAAAAGGAUGGACUCUAAAUAAGGAAGUUAAGUUUUAUGUGCCUUCUUGUGAUGAAGAUGGAUCCUCACACUUAUACUGUGCUUUAAGAAAGAUGAAAUAAAGACCAAAUCUCUGGAUAUAUGGUGAACAAGAGCUGUGAGAAGACUCUGAGGCCUUAGGAAAUGGGAAAGCUACCGGUCAAAAGGAUCCUGGCCCCUGAAUAACUGCACAGCUCUUUGCUGGUCUGCACUGGGAUGCGAUGUAACUGAUAAAUAAACAUUUCUUAUGUUAAAC
rnacentral:lncRNA from 1 species